rnacentral:misc_RNA from 1 species
GAUGAAGAACGCAGCGAAAUGCGAUAAGUAAUGUGAAUUGCAGAAUUCAGUGAAUCAUCGAAUCUUUGAACGCACAUUGCGCCCGCCAGUAUUCUGGCGGGCAUGCCUGUUCGAGCGUCAUUACAACCCUCAGGCCCCCGGGCCUGGCGUUGGGGAUCGGCGGAGCCCCCCGUGGGCACACGCCGUCCCCCAAAUGCAGUGGCGGUCCCGCCGCAGCUUCCAUCGCGUAGUAGCUAACACCUCGCGACUGGAGAGCGGCGCGGCCACGCCGUAAAACACCCAACUCUUCUGAAGUUGACCUCGAAUCAGGUAGGAAUACCCGCUGAACUUAAGCAUAUCAAUAAGCGGGA